AGUCAUACUGCUGUCUCAAGAUUAGCCAUGCAUGUCUCAGUACAAGCCUAAUUAAGGUGAAACCGCGAAAGGCUCAUUAAAUCAGUUAUGGUUCCUUAGAUCGUACCCACAUUUACUUGGAUAACUGUGGUAAUUCUAGAGCUAAUACAUGCAAACAGAGCUCCGACCGGAGACGGAAGGAGCGCUUUUAUUAGAUCAAAACCAAUCGGCGGCGGGCUUGCUCGCUGUCGUACACCUUGGUGAAUCUGAAUAACUUUCUGCUGAUCGCAUGGUCUCGCACCGGCGACGCAUCUUUCAAAUGUCUGCCUUAUCAACUGUCGAUGGUAGGUUCUGCGCCUACCAUGGUUGUAACGGGUAACGGGGAAUCAGGGUUCGAUUCCGGAGAGGGAGCCUGAGAAACGGCUACCACAUCCAAGGAAGGCAGCAGGCGCGCAAAUUACCCACUCCCGGCACGGGGAGGUAGUGACGAAAAAUAACGAUACGGGACUCAUCCGAGGCCCCGUAAUCGGAAUGAGUACACUCUAAACCCUUUAACGAGGAUCAAUUGGAGGGCAAGUCUGGUGCCAGCAGCCGCGGUAAUUCCAGCUCCAAUAGCGUAU
rnacentral:rRNA from 1 species